rnacentral:rasiRNA from 1 species
UGAAAGGAAAAACAGGACACGGGAGC